ACAGAGGCCACGACGAAGAAAGGCAGUUUCCUUACGUGUAACUGCCGUUCUUCGAGUUGUCAUCUGUGCAUUCACACA